rnacentral:antisense_RNA from 1 species
AUGUUCACAACGCUCCUUGGUCAUAGUUAGGCAAAUAAGACCACGACCGUAAGUCGCCAUAAAAUUAAUGGCUUCUGGCGUCACGAGCUCAGCGGCCAUAAUGA